rnacentral:rRNA from 1 species
AGUAACACGUGGGCAAUCUGCCCUGACACUCUGGGACAAGCCCUGGAAACGGGGUCUAAUACCGGAUGAUAUCUCCUCUCGCAUGGGAGGGGAUUGAAAGCUCCGGCGGUGCAGGAUGAGCCCGCGGCCUAUCAGCUUGUUGGUGAGGUAGAAGCUCACCAAGGCGACGACGGGUAGCCGGCCUGAGAGGGCGACCGGCCACACUGGGACUGAGACACGGCCCAGACUCCUACGGGAGGCAGCAGUGGGGAAUAUUGCACAAUGGGCGAAAGCCUGAUGCAGCGACGCCGCGUGAGGGAUGACGGCCUUCGGGUUGUAAACCUCUUUCAGCAGGGAAGAAGCGAAAGUGACGGUACCUGCAGAAGAAGCGCCGGCUAACUACGUGCCAGCAGCCGCGGUAAUACGUAGGGCGCAAGCGUUGUCCGGAAUUAUUGGGCGUAAAGAGCUCGUAGGCGGCUUGUCACGUCGGUUGUGAAAGCCCGGGGCUUAACCCCGGGUCUGCAGUCGAUACGGGCAGGCUAGAGUGUGGUAGGGGAGAUCGGAAUUCCUGGUGUAGCGGUGAAAUGCGCAGAUAUCAGGAGGAACACCGGUGGCGAAGGCGGAUCUCUGGGCCAUUACUGACGCUGAGGAGCGAAAGCUGG